UAAGUGGGCUUGAUUGUGGAAAAAACUCCACAGUUAAGCGCGCUUGAGCCAGAGGCGUCUUGGGAUGGGUGACCACCUGGGAAGUCCUGGUUACCGGGUGCA
rnacentral:rRNA from 1 species